AUACGUAGGGGGCGAGCGUUGUCCGGAAUUACUGGGCGUAAAGGGUGCGUAGGCGGCCUUUUAAGUUGGAUGUGAAAUACCCGGGCUUAACUUGGGGGGUGCAUCUAAUACUGGAGGGCUAGAGUGCAGGAGAGGGAAGCGGAAUUCCUAGUGUAGCGGUGAAAUGCGUAGAUAUUAGGAGGAACACCAGUGGCGAAGGCGGCUUUCUGGACUGUAACUGACGCUGAGGCACGAAAGCGUGGGGAGCAAACAGGAUUAGAUACCCUGGUAGUCCACGCUGUAAACGAUGAAUACUAGGUGUAGGGGGUAUCAACUCCCCCUGUGCCGGAGCAAACGCAAUAAGUAUUCCGCCUGGGGAGUACGGCCGCAAGGUUGAA
rnacentral:rRNA from 1 species